UUACACUAUAAAGGCGAGACACCAGGGC
rnacentral:sRNA from 1 species